UACGGGGGGGGGCAAGCGUUGUUCGGAUUUACUGGGCGUAAAGGGCGCGUAGGCGGCCACCGCAAGUCGGUUGUGAAAUCUCUGGGCUUAACCCAGAAAGGUCAACCGAUACUGCGGGGCUAGAGUGCAGAAGGGGCAACUGGAAUUCUCGGUGUAGCGGUGAAAUGCGUAGAUAUCGAGAGGAACACCUGCGGCGAAGGCGGGUUGCUGGGCUGACACUGACGCUGAAGCGCGAAAGCUAGGGGAGCGAACGGG
rnacentral:rRNA from 1 species